rnacentral:rRNA from 1 species
CUACGGGAGGCACCAGUGGGGAAUAUUGGACAAUGGGGGAAACCCUGAUCCAGCAAUGCCGCGUGUGUGAAGAAGGCCUGCGGGUUGUAAAGCACUUUCGGUUGGGAGGACUGCUUCUAGCACUAAUAUUGUUGGAAGUUGACGUUACCUUCAGAAGAAGCACCGGCUAACUCCGUGCCAGCAGCCGCGGUAAUACGGUGGGUGCAAGCGUUAAUCGGAAUUACUGGGCGUAAAGCGCGCGUGGGCGGCUAGAUCAGUCGGGUGUGAAAGCCCCGGGCUUAACCUGGGAACUGCAUCCGAUACUGUCUAGCUUGAGUACAGGAGAGGAGAGUGGAAUUCCACAUGUAGCGGUGAAAUGCGUAGAUAUGUGGAGGAACACCAAUGGCGAAGGCAGCUCUCUGGCCUGAUACCGACGCUGAGGUGCGAAAGCGUGGGGAGCAAACAGGAUUAGAUACCCGUGUAGUC